CUUACUUAUGGUUUUCUGAUUAAUAAAAUUUUGUUGAAAUCUUAUCUGUUCAAUAUCUGAUACAUCCCCUAUCUGGGGACCAUAUAUUAAAUCUAUUUUUCGAACAGGGAGACGAAAAAAGAGCUUGCUCUGUCCACUCCACGCAUUGACCUGGUAUUGGAGUACCUCCAGGACUGGUGCACCCCUU